GCCUUUGCCAUACCGGGAUAGUGCAGUUGGUAGAGCAUGAGACUCUUAAUCUCAGGGUUGUGGGUUUGAGCCCCACGUUGGGCA